rnacentral:rRNA from 1 species
GAUCAUGGCUCAGGAUGAACGCUAGCUACAGGCUUAACACAUGCAAGUCGAGGGGGCAGCAUGUUGGUUGCUUGCAACCGAUGAUGGCGACCGGCGCACGGGCGAGUAACGCGUAUCCAACCUACCCUUGUCCAUCGGAUAACCCGUCGAAAGGCGGCCUAACACGAUAUGCGGUUCACAGCAGGCAUCUAACGUGAACGAAAUGUGAAGGAGAAGGAUGGGGAUGCGU